CCUACGGGAGGCAGCAGUGGGGAAUAUUGCACAAUGGGGGGAACCCUGAUGCAGCGACGCCGCGUGAGUGAAGCAGUAUUUCGGUAUGUAAAGCUCUAUCAGCAGGGAAGAAAAUGACGGUACCUGACUAAGAAGCCCCGGCUAACUACGUGCCAGCAGCCGCGGUAAUACGUAGGGGGCAAGCGUUAUCCGGAUUUACUGGGUGUAAAGGGAGCGCAGACGGCUGUGCAAGUCUGGAGUGAAAGGCGGGGGCCCAACCCCCGGACUGCUCUGGAAACUGUAAAGCUGGAGUGCAGGAGAGGUAAGCGGAAUUCCUAGUGUAGCGGUGAAAUGCGGAGAUAUUAGGAGGAACACCAGUGGCGAAGGCGGCUUACUGGACUGCAACUGACGUUGAGGCUCGAAAGCGUGGGGAGCAAACAGGAUUAGAUACCCCGGUAGUC
rnacentral:rRNA from 1 species